ACUCUUCCUUUAGUGUGGGUGUGUGAGUGCAUGUGCAUAUCUGAAGAACAGCUGAACUCGGCAGACUAGUCAUUUGAGCACAGGACAAGCAUACUAGAAGCGGGCUAAUCUCUGAUUUAUGAUCAGGAAGUAAGGAAGAGGUGAACAGCGAAACUGAUCCUGAACAAUGGAAAGAAUUUUUUAAAAACACCCGCUCUGUAGAUCCAUGUGAAAGCCUCAACUACUCCAAGGGCUGUGAGGAUCACACGACAGCUGUAUGGGUACAAAUGGUAGGAUCAAGAACAAACCCCCCUUACCCCCUAAACCCCUAAUGAAAGGGGAUACACCACAGAAGGUCCUGGAUCCCCCUCCAAGCAGCACUAAUAGUGGUACACAAUACAGGCCAACCCCUAAACCACGGCUGCUCAAACCUGGUCCCCGAAAGCAAACCCUGAACCAAGCUGGCAAUGCUGAUCAAGCCUCUAUGUGUAACACGAACAAUGCUGCCCCAAAUGGAUCCAGGGAGAACCAUUUUGUUCUUCCAGCCUGCCCACCCUGCUGUCCUUGUUUGUGUCAUAAUGACAGUAACAAUGGACCAAAGAAAACCCAAGAGCAUGAGGACGAUUAUAACAUUAACUUAGAGAAUAAAGAUAAUAAGCCACCCAGAAGAGCCCCUCCAGAUAUACCUCCUCUAUCUGCAAGACCUCUUCCCAAAACGCCAUGGCAGAUAAUGAAUGAAGCAUGUACUGAUUAUAAUGAUGGAGGCAUUUAUGCUGAAGCUGACAUGCCAAAGUAUGACGACACAGCAC
ensembl:lncRNA